UCCUGUUAUCACUUAUGCUACAGAAAGUUUAAACAACAAAAAUUCAACUGGUCAUGUUACAGAGAAAUCAAAAAAGCAGAAAAAUUUCCCGUAGUAGACAAUUUAAAUUACCAGCUUUACCUCUGACUGUUACAAAGUGCUGACACUGGAGACUCCUUCCAUACAUGUUAAAUAAACAUUUCCUUUGAGAGACAAUGAUCAUGUAGUCUAAUCUGGUCCUUUGUGUCAUCUAUGCUUAUGUCCAGACAUUUGAAUACAUCUGAUUUAUUUCAAACGUGAUGCACUUGAAUACAUUUGCAGAUACACAUGACCAUAAAUGUGACAGCUCCAGUCCAGAAGAGCUGAAGUGCAGGUGGAUCAGUUGCUAUCAGUUAUCCACAUCUCCUCAAAAUGGAAAGCUUUAAGAGCUAUUGUUCAGCACAGCUCUCUGUGUGUGCACUGAUCCAUUCAAAGCAGGCCUGAGAUCAGUAACACAAGCGUAAUGUAGACACACAAAUACAAUAUCGUUUACCACUUUGACUGUGUGUUUGCCUCCUUGGCUGUGUCUGAAAAAAAUGCUUGCCAUCACUGCAAUUCAGUAUGCUGCACUUAUUUUUCUUCCUUAUCAUCUCUUUUACAACCACUAGCUUAUGCUCCAGUCAGCUUCGUGAUGUCGUGGUGCUCAUCCCUCGUAUGUCCUUUCUGCGACCUUUCAGCCUUUUUCCCCCGUCUCUUUGUUGUUGGGGGUAUUUUGUAAUGCACAGUACAAGCCAGAAGACGAGGGAUCCCCCACGUUCUUUAGCCCACCGUGUUGUGCUUAACCUGGGAGAGGACGUUUCUCGGGCUCGCUCUCCUGUAGAGGAGGCUAACCUUUGAGAGACAAUGCAUCCACUCUCUGCCUCCUCAAAGACGCCUUUGUGCCAGAAUACUCUUGCCAGGAAACCGAUAUAUGAGGUGGCAGCUUGAUUCUUUUUUUUUCCUUCUCUAUAUCCUCCUGUCCACCUUUCCGUCUUCUCCACAGUCUUUUCUAAGGUUUUAAGGGGACUAAAAUGGCAGGUGUUUUUUUUUUUUUUUAAAGAAAAGUGGAUUAGUGAAUCACUCUCUCUCUCUCUUUCUCUCUCUCUCUCUCUCUCUCUCUCUGUCAGUUCUUUGAAUGGUUCACUCACGUAAUGAAUUGACGAAGAUGUCUCAGCAUUCUGACACAGGGAUUCCUGUAGGCAAAGGGACAAAGGGAGGAGGGACAUGGAAUUGUGAAUGGUCCUAAGUGCUAAGGAAAGAUCUUUAUGAACAUGGAAAGGUUUCCAGGUGCAAAAGGCAAAAGAGGUAAAAGAGGCAAAGGGAUGGCAGACACUAAGUGGGUAACACUGGGGAAAUCACUAGGGUUUUGGUACCUUUGGUUUUUUAACACGGACUCUGUUGUCACAUCAAGAAAAUGUAUCUCUUUGCGAAAUGGCUGAGAGCGGGACACAAGCAGGACCAAUGAUAUACCAUCAUUCAUAGAUUCGUCUUCAGUUACCACAAUGUCAUGAUCAGGGACUCAUUGGAUCUGGAGCCUCUCCUAUGAACACUUCAUUGAGGUGGGAAUACACGCUGGAUGGGAUGCCAGUCCAUUGCAGGGUACUAUGCGCAAUACCAUUAACACACAGGGACAAUUUAGAGUCAUCUAUUUACCUAUCUGCAUUGUUUUGGGAAGUUCACAGAGAGAACGUGUGAAUCUCUGCACAGACUGUAAACUUAGGAUUGAACCCGAGGACCCUGGAGCUGUGAGGCAGCAAAACUACCCGCUAAGUUUUGUACAUUGGUUUGUACAGUGCUGUGAAAAAGUAUUUCCCCUGAUUUCUUCUGUAUUUGUGUGUAUCACAUACUAAAUAGUUUUAGAUCUUCAAACGAAACACAACAUAAAACAAAGGCAGUUUUUAUUUAUUAAUUUUUUUAUUGAAGCAAAAAAGUUAUUCAACACCUCAACACCUAUUACCUAUGUGAAAAACUAAUUGCCCCCUUAAACCUCUCCACUUUUGCCCUGUGUAUUUCUGAUAGUGGAGUCAGGAACAGUGACCUUUAUUGAUACAAGAGAGGCCUGUAGCUUCUUAGAUGUUGUCCUUGCCUCUUUUGUGACUUCCUGAAUAAGUAGUUGCUGUGCUCUUGGAAGGUCAGAAAUUUCUGGGAAGGUUCACUACUGUGCCGAGUUUUUCCAUUUGGACAUUUGGAGAUAAUGGCUCUCACGGUGGUCCUUUGGAGUCCCAGAGCCUUUGAAAUAGCUUUGUAACCCUUCCCAGACUGACGUAUUUCAAUCAUAUUCUUCCUCAUCAUUUCUGGAAUUUCUUUAAAUUUUGCCAUAGUGUGUUACUGGGUAAGACCUUUUACCCAACUUCAUGCUGUUGAAAAAGUUCUAUUUAAGUGCUGAUUUGAUUGAACAGGGUUUGCAGUAAUCAGGCCUAGUUGUGUCUAGUCCAGCUGAACCCUAUUAUGAAUGCAGUUUCAUAGAUUUGGGGAAUUAGUAACUACAGGGGCAAAUACAUUUUCACACAGGCCCAGUUGGUAUUGGAUAACUUUUUUCCUUCAAUAAAUAACAUCAUUUAAAAACUGUAUUUCGUGUUUACUCAGGUUGCCUUUAUUUUAUGUUAGAUUUCGUUUUAAUUUCUGAAACAAUUUACUAUGAAGUACACAUAAAAACAGAAGAAAUCUGGAUAUGGAAAAUACUUUUUCACAGCAUUGUACUGUACCUUGCUAACAAUAAACAGUAAAAAAAAAAUAAAAUAAAAUAAAAUAGUGCACACUGGUUUGAAAAUGAUCAGCAAGCUUACAAUUAAUAUUUGCUGAACGCUACCCGGAAGAAAAUAAUAGCACUAAGCAUUUUUCAGUCUAACAAGGUUAGAGAUGUGUAGUUUAAACAUAAUCUUGAACCACCCCUACAUGUAGAACAUCUAUAUUGUUAAGUGUGGAUUGUUUUCUUUAAUUCAGUCUAAUAUGGUCAUUGCAAAGCACUUAUUUCAUGAUUCUUCAGCCCUUUGUGUGUUGAUUUGGAUUCUUUUGGGUUAUUGUCUUGUUUAAAGUUCAUAUACUGGUAAUGAACAAAAUUCAGGAUGGCAUCAAUUUGACGCUGCUAGGCCAUUAGUCACAAAACAGAAGCAUCCAAUGAUCUACCUCAGCAUUUUACCGUGGGCAUUUUCGUUCCACCAACACCAACAGGGUUCUCUAAGGUAGAGCUUAUUGUGUACAACCCUUCCAAAAAAAGGCAAAAGGUUACUCAGCACCUUCUGCUCAUUUUUAAGUACCAUGCUUGCACUGCCCUGUGCACUCAGGUCGGCCAUCAUCGUAGUCAGGUCAGCUGUCCUCCUCGUCUAAUAGUUGAUUCUGAAACUUGACAUUCCCAAGAAUACACUAAACUGUAGCAGUCUGACAGUUGAAAUCUGUAGGUUCUUUUUUGCCUCCCUCACCAUCAACUUCACUGUGUUUGGGUGUAGUAUGGGUGUAUUAUGCUCACGAGUCCAAUUCUGUGACAACAUUCGUAUAUUAUUAUCAUGGUUGUAGUUGUGUUUAAUGACAUUUCAACUAGGGAUGCAUCAAUACCAUUUUUUAUUCUUUAUGUACACACAGUUCUUGGCACCUUGCACUAAUGUAAUGACAAUGACAGUGAUACUGCUCUGCAUGAUCUGGUCAGCUACUCUCGUGCUCUCUAUUAAAUAUACUGUUCAACACCAAAAAGUAUUGGUAAUGAUGCAUCCCUAAUCUUAACAACUUAUGUUUUAAUUUCUAUUAUCUGACUUGUGCAAGUCAACAACCAUAUAUUUUGUUUGUGCUAAGACCUCUGGUUUUCUCCAUAUUUGUGGAUGAAAAAUUUAUUUUACAUAAGCAACUUCAUAUGUAUACCCCAAUAAAAUCUAAAAUGGUCAAAAGCAAAAACAGGUUCUGUUCUAUCAGCAAUUUAUAAUAUAGGGUGGUUUUUUUUUCAACAAUGGCAGUAUGUUUGCAUAUAUUGGAAAUAUUUUCUUAGAAGUACAUUAUAUGGCCCAAACAUUUGUGGACACCUGUCCAUCACAUGUCUUAUAUGUGGUUCUUACCAAAACUGUUGCCAUAGUUGUAAGCACACAGUUGGAUAGAAUGUAUUUGUAUGCUAUAGCUUUAAGAGUUCCUUUCACUGGAAUUAAGAGGCCCAAAUCUGUUUCAGCAUGUCAAUGGCCCUGUACACAAAGCAAGGUCCAAGAAGACAUGGUUUGCCAAGACAAGGCACAGAGCCCUGACCUCAACCUCACUGAACAUCUUUGGGAUGAAUUGACUGCACCCCAGGCCUCCCCAGGCCUCAUGUCUGAAGUCACUAAUGCUUUUGUAUCUGAAUGGGCAAAUCCCAACAGCCAUACUCCAAAAUAUAGUGGAUGUUCAACUAUUCACAUAUAGGUGUUAUGGUCAGGUGUCCACAAACUUCUGGCUAUGUAGUUUACUAAUACUUUUGACACAUGGUUUUACGAUACUAUUAUUUACAAGAAGAAGGGAGACAUUUUUGUGAGAGAAAAAGUAAGUAACUCCUUACUUUUCCUAAAUAGUUCCUAACUAGUUACUAAUUCCUCCCACUGCUAAUUUUGGAGGGCAGUGUAUAUUAAGCUUGAUGCAUACACACUGGUAAAAUUAUAAUGUCUUCCAAUUUUUAUCUUCUGUAGUACGAUAUGAAGAACAGCCACUUCAGCAAUAAACACUGCCAAAGUAAUUUGAUGCAAAGCUUUCUUUGCUGUAUGAAAAAUGCUGUAAAUAUAUAUUGUAAAAUGCUUAAUGAAAAGUGUGUCUGGGCCUUAACAUUCAUCUUAGUCCUAGUCCAUGUCUUCAUCAAGUUGCUCUGUUUCUUUUGCCUC